AGCGAACGCUGGCGGCAGGCCUAACACAUGCAAGUCGAACGAAGUCUUCGGACUUAGUGGCGGACGGGUGAGUAACACGUGGGAACGUACCUUUUGGUUCGGAACAACUCAGGGAAACUUGAGCUAAUACCAGAUGAGCCCUUAGGGGGAAAGAUUUAUCGCCGAAAGAGCGGCCCGCGUUAGAUUAGCUAGUUGGUGAGGUAAAGGCUCACCAAGGCUACGAUCUAUAGCUGGUCUGAGAGGAUGAUCAGCCACACUGGGACUGAGACACGGCCCAGACUCCUACGGGAGGCAGCAGUGGGGAAUCUUGCGCAAUGGGCGAGAGCCUGACGCAGCCAUGCCGCGUGAAUGAUGAAGGUCUUAGGAUUGUAAAAUUCUUUUACCAGGGACGAUAAUGACGGUACCUGGAGAAAAAGCCCCGGCUAACUUCGUGCCAGCCGCCGCCGUAAAAC
rnacentral:rRNA from 1 species